AGCUGCAGUGCCAAACAUCUGGAGGGCACCAGGUUGGCAAAGGCUGCUGGGAAAUCUCCCACCCCCGCCUUGAGGAAGAUUACAUUUCCCCAGGCCCUCCAUGUGAACGUUUUCUGCCAGUCGAAAUCUUUUCCACUCGAUCACAGCAGGAAGACUUGGAAGUAAAUCCCAGCGACUUCAGCGGAAUUUAUUCCGAAACCCCAUCAAAGAAAAACGUCGAGAUGUCCCUUGUUUGUACACCAGCGCUCGAUUCUCUGCCUGGCUAUCUUCCUUCCUGCCGGUGUCAGCUGGAAAGAGCCCGUCAAGUUAUCAGUCCUCCUCUAGGCAGAUGAAACACUUCCUUUUCGUCUUCACAAGGUGCUGGUUGUGUGAGAGGCGCCUACACACAGAGAAGCAUAAACUCCCAGAUAAGUAGAAAUUUUUGAUUGUGUUUCGGGGCAGGAACUCCGGAGCGCCACGUUUCUGCAGAAAUCUCUGCAGAAGGAUCGCGCCCCUCAGUCCUCUUUCCAGGGAGUAAGACUAUGACCAUAUAUGCACUUAAACCUAGUCUGUCUGACACGUGUAAACCACCAGUCCAUGGGACUACCUCAAAGGGUGUCUAAAUGCCACCCUCCCAAAAGGGGGAUUGGCACCUAGGUCCUUUUCAUAGAAUCAAAGAAUGAUAGAGUUGGAAGGGAUCUCAGGGUUCCUCUAGUCCAACCCCCUGCGUAUCUCCUGCGAAAUUUAAUAGAACUUACUUCUCGCUGCUUUUAUGCUGCAAACCAAUACCAAUUUUCUUGGGAGUAAGCCCCGUUGAACUCCGUGCACCAUCUUUCUGAGUAGGUACGCUCUCAUCCUUCUCUGGACAAGGGCUUGUAGCCCGAUCCCAUGCGUGUUUACUCAGAAGCAGAUCCAUCCCGGGCAGAUCCCAUGGGGAGAAGAAACUUGAUUCAGAUUCGCUGCUUCUGGUUGAUAACAAAUGAGAAUUUCUUGCGCCCAGGAAUGGGGGAAAACCGUAGAAAGCUAAUGUUCAGGACCAUGGAGCCACCUCAAAAGCACCGUCCUGCGAGGUUUUGUGUGUGUGUCCUCAUAUCCUCCUUAGAUCGACAUUUCCUGGAUCAAGAGGAUUCCUAUGCUGUCACUUUUCUGAACCAGGCGAAUCCAGAGGAGACCUCCAAUGCCCGUGGUUUACAGCCCAGUUCUGGCUGUGCCUACUCAGAAGCAAGUCCUGUUGAAAAUGAGGCCUACUCUCAGGUAAGUGGGGUUAGGAGGAUACCCACUCACUUCUGAGCAAGACAUCUAUAAGGUUGCACCCUUGGCGCCUCUUUACGCAGGGAGGAAAGAAAUUGACCAGAAAAUGCAGCCUCUCCGCUCCUUGUCUGGGUGAUCUGAAGUAGACCGGGAAGGAUUUAUGAGCCUUGUUGUUUAACAAAGGGCCACGACAAAAUGACACACACACACACACACACACACACCCCGUUAAAAGAAAGGACUGAAAUGAAGAGAGCUGGAGCAGAUCUUUGCGUGGAAGAAGGACUUGAACUCAGCUCAGUUCUGCAGCUCAUAUUCCUCGGCUCAGAAUACGUUCGUCCCAAUGGAUGUGUCUUGCACCUGGCUCGAUUUGGGGGAUCUAGUAAAAAAGAAAGCAGGUGAAGGCUGAAGUCUGUCCCCCCUCCGGAUCCCAUCCCACUCCUUAUCGCAGGGAUAGUACCCUAAUCUCUUAGAACAUAUAUUCUUAUUGAUUUAUUGCGUUUUUAUCUCAUCUUUUCCUCUAAGGAGCUCAAGGUGGUGUACAUGGUUCUCCUCCUCCGCAUUUUAUCCCCACAACAGCCCUUUGAGGUAGGUCGACCUGACAGGCAGUGACUAACCCAAGGACACACAGGGAGCUCCAUGGCCCAGCGGGAUUUGAACCCUCGUCUCCCAGAUCCUCCUCCGACAGUCUUAACCACUCCACCAUCGCUGCCUAUAAAGAUAUUUUGAGAGAGAGGAAGAGGAAAGAACUUAUGGCAACAGCACGCAGACACGUCAGUCCAAUGGUGCUUCUGACCUCAACCGCCUUGGAAUGCGGAGUCUAUUAUAUUUGUUGGGACUACUACUCUACUCUACAGUUGCUUACCGGGUGGAAGAGGAGCGCAGCGUUAUAGCCCUGGGUAAAGGUGUCCUCGACUUUCAGAGAUCCAGUAUCUCUUGCUGCCUUGGACCCAACCGUGGUACACUUGAAACAAGCGGAAACUCCAAAACCCGAAGUUCACCAGCCAAAGAUGCCUCAGAAAGCGAGACAAGCUUUCUAGAACUUUAUCAGACAAGAAGUUUCGCGAAGCAAGAGAUGGAGGGGACCGGGGUUUAUUUUAUUUUUUUAAGUACCAAAAUUAGAAGGGUGCUGUAGCAUGAGAUGGUCAGAGAGGUGUGAUUCUCUGAGCACAUGCUGAGAGCCCUCCCCGCCUGGACUGGAGAGCUCCCCUUGAAUAAGAGCUCAAAGAAUCAUAGAAUUGUAGCGGUGAAAGGGAUCCGAGGGUAAUCUAGUCCAACCCCCUGCAAUGCAGGUUGGGGAUAUAUUAAAUAUAUGCCCAUGGGGCAGUGAGAUAACUUUCUAACAAGGGCUCCUCAACCUGAUCCAUACAAGCCCGCCGAAGCAAAGAAUGGAAGCGUUUUGAAUUUCAGCUCAGCCAAGAACAGGGGAAAUAUUUGGAUGGAUUCGAAAUCAUGGGUGGUGGGCUCUGUUCAGGCACCGGGUGGGGGUGAGGAGAGAGGCUCAGCUUGGCUCCACCCAGCAAUAAAAGCCAAGGGUCUCCUCUGGCGUCAGGGACAAGACCCAGUCCCGUCGGUUCUGUUGCAGCAGGAAACAGCUACAAGGAGUUUGGUGGCCAGCAGAUUUGAUCGCAGCUGCAGCUUCGCAGGGCCAGAGAGCACUUUGCCCGGCAUGUAUGACUGGCGAGCCUCGGUUGGUGGUUGAUAUCGAAAUAUGCCCUUUGAAAUAUCAGGUGUAAUGCGAGCAAUACUGCCAAGUCCUGCUGAUGUGAACU